UUCGGCACGGAUGCCGGAAAAGCCGAGGUCUACGAUGUUUUGGCAGGCGAAUGCCGGACAAAACUCGCUAUGAAAAUCGUACACGGAAGUACGAUUUUCAGACAAG
rnacentral:sRNA from 1 species